rnacentral:rRNA from 1 species
ACUGAACGCUAGCGGGAUGCUUUACACAUGCACGUCGAACGAGUGGCGGACGGGUGAGUAACAUAUCGGAACGCGCCCAGUAGCGGGGGAUAACUCCUCGAAAGAGUGGCUAAUACCGCAUACUAUUGGAGCGGCCGAUAUCGGAUUAGCUAGUUGGUGGGGUAAAGGCUCACCAAGGCAACGAUCCGUAGCUGGUUUGAGAGGACGACCCGCCAAACUGGGACUGAGACACGGCCCAGACUCCGACGGGAGGCAGCAGUGGGAAAUGUGGGACAAUGGGGGAAACCCUGAUCCAGCCAUCCCGCGUGUAUGAGAAGGCCUUCGGGUUUUAAAGUACUUUUGGCAGAGAAGCGGGAUCUGAAGACUAAGCACCGGCGAACUACGUGCCAGCAGCCGCGGUAAUUC